ACGGGAGGCAGCAGUGGGGAAUAUUGGACAAUGGGGGAAACCCUGAUCCAGCGACGCCGCGUGAGUGAAGAAGUAUUUCGGUAUGUAAAGCUCUAUCAGCAAGGAAGAAAAUGACGGUACUUGACUAAGAAGCUCCGGCUAAAUACGUGCCAGCAGUCGCGGUAAUACGUAUGGAGCAAGCGUUAUCCGGAUUUACUGGGUGUAAAGGGAGCGUAGACGGAGACGCAAGCAGUCUGUACAAUACCGGGGCCCAACCCCGGACCUGCAGACUGGACUGUGUCUCUUGGAUAGUUCAGGGGCAGGCGGAAUUCCUGGUGUAGCGGUGGAAUGCGUAGAGAUCAGGAAGAACACCGAUGGCGAGGGCAGCCUGCUGGGGACUCAUCGACGCUGAGGCUCGAAAGUGCGGGUAGCAAACAGGAUUAGAUACCCUGGUA
rnacentral:rRNA from 1 species